GACGAACGCUGGCGGCGUGCUUAACACAUGCAAGUCGAACGGAAAGGCCCUGCUUUUGUGGGGUGCUCGAGUGGCGAACGGGGGAGUAACACGUGAGUAACCUGCCCUUGACUUUGGGAUAACUUCAGGAAACUGGGGCUAAUACCGGAUAGGAGCUCCUGCUGCAUGGGGGGGGUUGGAAAGUUUCGGCGGUUGGGGAUGGACUGGCGGCUUAUCAGCUUGUUGGUGGGGUAGUGGCUUACCAAGGCUUUGACGGGUAGCCGGCCUGGGAGGGUGACCGGCCACAUUGGGACUGCGGUACGGCCCAGACUCCUACGGUAGGCAGCAGUGGGGAAUAUUGCACAGUGGGCGGAAGCCUGAUGCAGCAACGCCGCGUGCGUGAUGACGGCCUUCGGGUUGUAAACCGCUUUCGCCUGUGACGAAGCGUGAGUGACGGUAAUGGGUAAAGAAGCACCGGCUAACUACGUG
rnacentral:rRNA from 1 species